GCCUUUUGUAGAAUGAACCGGCGAGUUACGAUUUGAUGCAAGGUUAAGCAGUAAAUGUGGAGCCGUAGCGAAAGCGAGUCUGAAUAGGGCGUUUAGUAUUUGGUCGUAGACCCGAAACCAGGUGAUCUACCCUUGGUCAGGUUGAAGUUCAGGUAACACUGAAUGGAGGACCGAACCGACUUACGUUGAAAAGUGAGCGGAUGAACUGAGGGUAGCGGAGAAAUUCCAAUCGAACCUGGAGAUAGCUGGUUCUCUCCGAAAUAGCUUUAGGGCUAGCCUCAAGUGAUGAUUAUUGGAGGUAGAGCACUGUUUGGACGAGGGGCCCCUCUCGGGUUACCGAAUUCAGACAAACUCCGAAUGCCAAUUAAUUUAACUUGGGAGUCAGAACAUGGGUGAUAAGGUCCGUGUUCGAAAGGGAAACAGCCCAGACCACCAGCUAAGGUCCCAAAAUAUAUGUUAAGUGGAAAAGGAUGUGGCGUUGCCCAGACAACUAGGAUGUUGGCUUAGAAGCAGCCAUCAUUUAAAGAGUGCGUAAUAGCUCACUAGUCGAGUGACACUGCGCCGA
rnacentral:rRNA from 1 species